rnacentral:rRNA from 1 species
AGAGUUUGAUCCUGGCUCAGGAUGAACGCUGGCGGCAUGCCUAAUACAUGCAAGUCGAACGAGAGACCUUCGGGUCUCUAGUGGCGAACGGGUGAGUAACACGUAGGGAACCUGCCCGUGCGACCGGGAGAACUUUCGGAAACGGAAGCUGAUACCGGAUAGGGACAGAGACGGCAUCGACUCUGUGUUAAAGGAGCUGAAAGGCUCCGCGCACGGAUGGACCUGCGGUGCAUUAGCUGGUUGGUGAGGUAACGGCCCACCAAGGCGACGAUGCAUAGCCGGCCUGAGAGGGCGGACGGCCACACUGGGACUGAGACACGGCCCAGACUCCUACGGGAGGCAGCAGUAGGGAAUUUUCGUCAAUGGGCGCAAGCCUGAACGAGCAAUGCCGCGUGAACGAGGAAGGUCUUCGGAUCGUAAAGUUCUGUUGAAGGGGAAAAAGAGCGGAGAGAGGAAAUGGUCUCCGAUUGAUAUUACCCUUCGAGGAAGUCACGGCUAACUACGUGCCAGCAGCCGCGGUAAUACGUAGGUGGCGAGCGUUAUCCGGAAUGAUUGGGCGUAAAGGGUGCGUAGGCGGCCUGCUAAGUCUGGAGUGAAAGGUACCGGCUCAACCGGUACAGGCUCUGGAAACUGGCGGGCUAGAGAGCAGGAGAGGGCGGUGGAACUCCAUGUGUAGCGGUAAAAUGCGUAGAUAUAUGGAAGAACACCAGUGGCGAAGGCGGCCGCCUGGCCUGUUACUGACGCUGAGGCACGAAAGCGUGGGGAGCAAAUAGGAUUAGAUACCCUAGUAGUCCACGCCGUAAACGAUGAGGACCAAGUGUUGGGGAAGACCCAGUGCUGCAGUUAACGCAGUGAGUCCUCCGCCUGGGGAGUAUGCACGCAAGUGUGAAACUCAAAGGAAUUGACGGGGGCCCGCACAAGCGGUGGAGUAUGUGGUUUAAUUCGAAGCAACGCGAAGAACCUUACCAGGCCUUGACAUAGGGUGCGAAGCUGUGGAGACAUAGUGGAGGUAAACAUCCAUACAGGUGGUGCAUGGUUGUCGUCAGCUCGUGUCGUGAGAUGUUCAGUUAAGUCUGGCAACGAGCGCAACCCUCGUGAUGUGUUACCAAUAUCGAGUUAGGGACUCACAUCAGACUGCCGGUGAGAAACCGGAGGAAGGCGGGGAUGACGUCAAAUCAUCAUGCCCCUUAUGGCCUGGGCUACACACGUACUACAAUGGCGGCGACAGAGGGCAGCGAGCCUGCGAAGGCAAGCGAAUCCCAAAAAAGCCGUCCCAGUUCGGAUUGGAGUCUGCAACCCGACUCCAUGAAGUUGGAAUCGCUAGUAAUCGCGGAUCAGCAUGCCGCGGUGAAUACGUUCUCGGGCCUUGUACUCACCGCCCGUCAA